CCCUACCCACUCAGUAGUGCUGGGAAAUGGACCUGAGAACUGCAGGGAAAGGAGGAGGCCUAGGUUUGCUGUGCCAGAAAAAAAUGGGCAAUAAAUGAAUUAACCUUCAGAAGAGGCGCAGAAACCCAGGCAUCCAGACAAAGAGGGAAUUGAUUGUCGGGAGGUAUCUUGUGCCUGUUUCCUAAGUUUACAGUUUUGUGGUGAGCCAGCCCUCCUUGACUGCUUGUCACAUGCAGACUCGGCUUUCCUGGAAUGUCAGACAGCAGCACUCGCACCUCCGCAAUGUUGGGGGUAAUUAUGUCGGAAGACAGCCCUGAAAACAGAUGAUGGGUGCACCAGCCUGUGAUGAACACCUACAAUUCAUUCACAUAGAGGCUCAUGCUUGAGAUCUAUUCUCCUCUGAUUUCUCCUUACUCUCAGGAGUUUAUAAAUAUCUUUCUACUGUAAUAAGCCAACAUAUACACAGUGGUAGGGAUGUGUAGAACCAAGACUGACUCUUCUUUCUUCCUCCCUCCCUCUUUCACUUCCUGAAAGGGGUAAACAAGCACAGUAGUUGAUCCUUUCCUCAUGGUUGCCAGAGGUAAAAUCUGGAAAGGCUGAACAACAAAAUAAAUUGGGCCUACCCAAUAAUUUCUAUUUUAAGAAUACUUGCUGAUUCUUGUAACCCUGCUGAAAAUGACACACACUUUGAGGCUUCAGAUCAGAUAUUCCUUGAUGUAUUUCAGGAGUGCAAUAAUGUUGAAAUAUAUUAAGAAAAAAACAUUCUUAGCCUCCUAACAGCAGAAAAUAAGUGCACAUGUUUAAAUUUUCAAGGGAACAGACUGGAGUUCUGGCAAAUGCUUUUUAAUAUUGCAAAUGGAAAACAAUGACUACACUGAGAGAGAUACAGAAACUCCCUCAUACAAUUCAAGCAAUAUAUUUCCUUUUCAUGAGUUCCUUUAGGCAAUUUGUGUCCUAAACCUGCAAAGGCAUGCAGAAGUUUAACUUAGUCUACAUACACGUUUCUACUUACAGCUUGCAAACUAAUAAAAAACUUUCAUCUGUUACAGCUAUGAGAUAUAUACUCACUGACUCCUCUCAUGUUAUUUUACUUACUUUUGUAUAACCUCAACCAUUAAAAAUAAAUUAAAAAAAAAAAGUAAAAUAAAGUGGAACACAUUGAAGGAGAAAAUAGAACUGUUGUAGUACACUAUUAAAAACACCUACCCCCUCAACUACUAGCAAAAAAAAAAAAAAAAAAAUGUGAGGGGAAGAUAAAAAUGAUUUGUGUUCUUACCUAUCUUGUGUUAUAUCAACAAUGAAACCCCCCACACACCAAAAGUGCAGUGGUAACGUUGUAGCUCAUUUACUGAAUCUUCUGGCAAUAGAAACUUAAGAGAUGUACGUCAUCCUGGCAUUACUUUUCUGCCAACUUAAUGUUUCAUGUAGGUUUUUUAAACUAAUUUAGAAAAAAAAAGGAAAAGAGUGGAGUCAGAAAAUAAAAUAAAGCACCUACACUGACACUAUUUGUAUUUUGACAUUAGACUUCUUAAUUACAUCUGAUUAAAUUUCUCAUGCUUUUACAUCCAUUGUUUUCCAUUGCUGGCAGUUUUCUAAAACACAUUUUUGCUUGUCUUCCUAGAACAAAUUAAAAUGGAUGGGAACAUGUUGGAGGCAAGGAGCAGCAAGGAAAGCAACAAUUAAAUGUUAAGUAACAAACUGGAUUUUCUAACAUCAACAGAAUUGACAGGCAUUUUAUUGUUGGUCUAUCAUUUUUAAAGUAUUAUUAUUUUACCUAAGUAUAAUACUGGUUUGGAGUAUUAGCUAGACGUAUAUUUAGACUAGAGAUUCCUUUUAAAGCAAGUUCUCUGUUGUUGUUUUUUUGUUGUUGUUGUUUGUUUGUUUGUUUUAGUAUUUAUUUAUACAAACACACCCUAUCUUUGAAAGGGAUCCCUGAUACUUUUUUUGAGUGCUAACUUUUCUCUGCAGGGCAUCACAUACUUCAAUAAAACCACAUAAAGUUGGGAGGCAGACAAGCAUUCAGUGAUUAGACGCAUCAGAGCUUACAUUACAGUCACUGACAUCCCAGUGUCAUUCAGAACACAGGCUGUAAAGCUGCUGGAAUUUCCACACUAACUAAUCUUAAGAAACUCCAUGCACUACGCUCAUUAUGGGACCCACACAGUUUCCUCCUAUGUCUCACUGGUCUUGCAACAAAGCUUACAAUCUCAUGGGAGUUCAGGAUAAACUGGUCGCUCAGAAGUACCACCUCACAUCUCAGUGGAACUGAAACCAGCAGCCAUGUUGUGAAAGCCUGUGAACAUCCCUUUCGUUAUAGACAGCUCUACAAGAAUCAGACAGACUUCACUUAUGUCAUUACUUAGGACUGCGACCUUUACCCUGUAAGGACUAUUCACAUCAAUUCAAGUCUCAGUGCUUUAAUUACUAAAAGCUGCUAGCAAAAGUUUAAUGAAUUAAAAAUCACUGAGAGAGGAUUGUUUUACAAGCUGACCUGCCUAAUGCUGUAUCUUUCUACUUUUGUCUCAGCACAUGCUGUCCAGAUCAGUGGCCACUUAAAAGAAAUGGCUGAGAUAGAUUGCGAGGGUUCAUAAUGUAGAUGUAGAAUGUAAUGGUAGAUUGUGAGGGUUCAUAAAAUCAUGCAGCCUGAAAGAGCAGUCCAUCUCUUUAACCUAUUGCUAACCUCCUGAGAAUUAGACAUUAAAACUUUAACUACUGACUCUUGUUCAUCCCCAGAAUUAAAAGGAAAGUAUAGGCAACUGCAGAAAUAUCCUAAACAUAGAACUUUUAAUAACAGAUGCUGCCUUUUGGAGGUUACUGCUUCUCACCAUUGACUAUAAAAGGAACCCUAGGGUUGCUAGUAUAAAUCUAGAUGUGUCCCUUUAAGACGUCUGUGAUUGAUGAACAAUUCCCACCCAAAUGUUAAGGGAAGAAAUACUACACAACAACGGUAUAAACUGUGUAAAUUCAUCACCUGGGGCAUGAGGCCCACCGGAUGUUCUUGGGUUUGGAUUGGUUUGGCAGGAAGUGUGAGGAAGCUGAUAACUUGCCAUAUAUCAGCUAAACUGAAGAAAAAGUGAAGGACAGGGUACUUAAAGGGAAAAGAGACAAAGGGAGUUGUGCAAAGUACCAAAGAGGGUGGGGAAGAGCAUGGUUCAGCACUUUAACAUGAGGUCAGGAAUGUCCCAGUGAAAGAUCUCCAGAUGAUCCCAAAUUACCUCAUAUGUUUUGGAAACUGCACUAUGUGAUUGAGUCCUUGAUUGGUUCACCUCUGCAUUUUCCCCUACGUACAGUAAACAAGCAUGAACACUAACACUUCAAUCAUCCCCAUCCCCUCUACUAAGUCUUAGACCAGAAGAGAUGCUGGAGAGAGAUGGCUCCAUUCAUGUGCUCUGGUUCCAUAAGAAGUGCUUCUGCAGUUACCUGUGGAGCAAGUACUCCUGCAGACACUCAAUAAUUACGAGUUCAUUCAUAAUAUUGUCUUCAACUUAUAUAGCUGAAACAUGCACAAAUGUACUGGGAUGGUUGUUUCCAGAUGGUAUGGACUGAUGGAUUAUUGCUAACCCUUAAGAAUUUUAAAGACCAUACAUAUGACAUAAAGGAUACCUCAUACAUUUACUGCUAAAUAGAGUUUGAGAGAUUAGCCUUGGGCCCUUUGUGGUAUCCUGGUGGUCUACUCUCUGCAUGGCUCACAGUCCAAUAGUCAGUACUAAGGCUUGGGGUCUUGAACAUGAAAGGUGCCAUGACCACAGUGCAAGGGACUUAGUUGUGGUUAACAUCAAGCUGAGUUGUUUUAAAAAAAGAUAAACAAGAAUUUUUUUCUGGAGAUUAAUUUUUGAAUCCCUUUUGGGUAUCCAAAGAAUUUUUCAGUAACCUAAGCGUGUCAGCUUUAGAAAGUGCUAAGAAUGUACAACUUUUACAGAAUCUAGACUGAACUGAAAAGAACAAAAAUUUUGGACUGCCAACAUGUACUAAAGAUCCUUUGUAUCUUUCAAUCCACCCCUGCCUUAAACCAAAUUGCUUUACUGCUGCAUAACACAUUGCAGCCUGAAAGCAACCUACAGUAAGCCUACUACAAGAUGUGUCCAUAACACAAUACAUUUAAACUCUGGUGGUUCACAACAGGGCUGCCAUGUUAUCUAAUUGACAAAAGGAAACUUAGACAGAGGAAAAUCCUAUCAAUUUGUUUCUACUAAUCCAAAACAGAAAUAUAGCUGUUGUCACAAGCACUUGUUUAAUUUUCUUCUUGUUUAUAAGCUAAUAAGUAACACUAAAUUAUUUGCGAAAGUUUGUUCCCACUUCACUUUGCAUUCAUAGCUGCAGUAUUAUCUGAUAAUUAAAGGCAAUGCCCUAGUUAAGACUUUACUAUUUUUAUUACCUAUAAUCUAAUUCUCUGAGGAUACUUAGACUUAGACAUACACUAAUGCAAACAUUUUAUGUAACACUUUUAAUAUUAUUUAUGGUACUAUAUAAUCUGAAAACACAAUUAUUCUUGAACAAGGCUUAUAAGGAUAAAUCCAGUUUUAAACUAUGAAUGUAAGGUAGGUCCUUAUUACUGUUUAAAAAAUGUAGUUUUAGGUUGGUUGGAGAUUUUUGUUAAUAUCUUAAGAACAGGUAAGGUGAUUCAGAGCAGAAUCUGUCAACAAAGGAAGCAAAUAAUUGAUUCAAGUAUGUUCCGAUCGUUGUUUCCCACUUGAGUGAUUAAUUCUUGAUUAAGGUAGUGGUAAUAAGGCGGUGCAUUUUUCUGAUACUCUUCCUUGAAGGAAAUUCAGAGUGGUAGCUAUUAGCUCUAAUGACUCUUAAAUGUUUCAAAACCAUCUUGAACAAUCGCCAAGAGGCAGAAAUAAGAAUGUUUGCUGAAGGAACCCAAGGCUUAACUGAAUUAUCUGUUGUCUUAUCCAAAGGACUUUGAAGUAGCAUUACUAAGGGACAAUUUUUUUGUUCUACUCAAGACAGUUACCCAGCACUGAUGAGAGAGAGGAGGGGUGAUAUUUACUCUUCCUAAAACUAAUUUCUGUGAGUCAGGAGCGUGACUCAGGCUGGUCAGUGAUGUUGAUGUUAGCCUUGGAGAGAGACAGCUUGGUUAACCGUGUUGCUUCUUAUCUUUGGGGGUAGAAGGAAAAAAAAAAUAAACAAAAUACUUGUAAUCUGAUCACAGAGCAGCGUAUAACAACACUGCAAUUUAUGAACCAGAUAUUCAGUCAGCAUGAAUUGGAACAGACCCACAAAAUGAGUGAACUCAAUGGAGCCUCACAAACAUCGGCUGACCAUAUGCUCUUAAAGAUAAGAACACGGCUUACAAACCAACACACCUUAAAACGUCUGCAACAGGGAAAAAAAAAAAAAAAAAAAAAAAAAAAAAAAAAGGAAAAAGAAAUAGAUUACCUCGUUGUGGCAUCAUACAUACCAUGAGACCUACAAAAGCUCUCUUGCACCUUCCUAACUACAAUGUAUACUCCCACAGUUUGAGUCCUGGUGCCUGGCAGGUGAGCUGCCUGACAAAUCCUAAUCCAUACUAAGGGACAGACCGAUAGCAGGCCCAGAUGAGCUACAGCAACGUGAUUUUUAACAAAUCCUCCUCUUCAACUGGCCCAAAAUGUUUCCAGGGCCACCAUGCCUGGGUCUUUUUCCACCUUUUAGGAAUUCAAGGGAUUUUGCCAAGGGGAAGAAAGUAAAGAGGAUUGCUCCAAACUGGGGAAGUGCUACAUAGGAAAUGUCCUUGCAAUAGAGUAGCUGCGUGCUCACUGAAUACAUUUUUGAGCUCUGCUAGCAGAUAAUUUGCAGAGUAAUAGCACACAUGCAUUCAAGAGGCAGCCAUGAUCAUAUUGUCUUAUCACAUCCAUACCCUUCCCCCCCCCUUUUUUUAUGCUUUAUGAAAAGCUUCCCAAACAAUUUAUUGUCUUUAUAGCAGUUAUAAGGUUAUUCCACCCUGCUCUAUUUUUUUUUUCUUCUCUCCCAUGCCUGAUCCAAGUCCUUCAGUGGGUCAGACUCCCUCUCAAUUGUAGGAUUUUAUACUUCAUGGCAUUUUUUUUUUCUUUGCAUGUAGCUGCUGCACCUUUGACUGUGUUUUCUCUGGUGUGGGGCUGUGAUGCUGUUCUGUUGUGGCAGCGCCUGGAAAGAACAUGUAAAUGUACAAAGCCCAGUUUAUACUUUCUGAUAUAUUUCAGAUAGAGCAUACAUGAAGAAGACGUUUGUGCAAUAGCUGUUCUUUUUCACAUUCCUUUGUUUACUUCCGUGUUAUCUUUCACCCUCCUGAUAACGCACUAGAAGAACAUAAGAGGAAAAUAAUUAAAUCCAGAACGUUGUGAUGGAAAUGGAGAAGAGCACAAAGCUUCAAGUACUUCGACUUAUCAGAUGCAUUCACAACAGGAAACAACAGGAAACGCAUGAUGCAGGAUACCGAGUUCCUGAAUAGUCAAGAGAAAGAAUUUGGAGCUGAUAAGAAUGCUAACGGGGGUAGAUAGAUAGGCCUCUUAGAUAGGCCUCAUUCCUAAGGGAGGGGCAAUGGCGAUUUGGAGACGAAUGGGCUGAUUUCGUUUUGUUUCACGCGGUGAUUGCUAGGCUAUAUGAGCUGACAAUAGAGCAAUUUGGCCAUGGUGACACCUACAAGAUGAAAGAAAGGGGAAUUGCUCGUAAUCAAGUUGUUGGUUAACCUCAUAGCAAAAGGAAACAGGAUCCGUAGGGAUGCGGAGUGCCGGGAGGAUGAUGAGAAGCGGCCUCCACGGCACCGCGGGGGUGGCAGAGGGCCCAAGGGCAGGGUCCUGGUCUGGGGUGGUCUGCGAAGGCUGACUGUGAUAAACCUCGCUGGUGCUUGGGCUCUGGGGAGUUCUUUGAACAUUGGUUUCUUCAUGCUUGCACGUAAAACGUCUCCUAACCACUCC
ensembl:lncRNA